ACGGGAGGCAGCAGUGGGGAAUAUUGCACAAUGGGGGAAACCCUGAUGCAGCGACGCCGCGUGAGUGAAGAAGUAUUUCGGUAUGUAAAGCUCUAUCAGCAGGGAAGAGAAUGACGGUACCUGACUAAGAAGCACCGGCUAAAUACGUGCCAGCAGCCGCGGUAAUACGUAUGGUGCAAGCGUUAUCCGGAUUUACUGGGUGUAAAGGGAGCGUAGGUGGUAAGGCAAGCCAGAAGUGAAAACCCGGGGCUCAACCGCGGGAUUGCUUUUGGAACUGUCAUACUGGAGUGCAGGAGGGGUGAGUGGAAUUCCUAGUGUAGCGGUGAAAUGCGUAGAUAUUAGGAGGAACACCGGUGGCGAAGGCGGCUCACUGGACUGUAACUGACACUGAGGCUCGAAAGCGUGGGGAGCAAACAGGAUUAGAUACCCUGGUA
rnacentral:rRNA from 1 species